rnacentral:rRNA from 1 species
AUGAACGCUGGCGGCGUGCCUAAUACCUGCAAGUCGAGCGCACGGACGAGAAGCUUGCUUCUCUGAUGUUAGCGGCGGACGGGUGAGUAACACGUGGAUAACCUACCUAUAAGACUGGGAUAACUUCGGGAAACCGGAGCUAAUACCGGAUAAUAUUUUGAACCGCAUGGUUCAAAAGUGAAAGACGGUCUUGCUGCCACUUAUAGAUGGAUCCGCGCUGCAUUAGCUAGUUGGUAAGGUAACGGCUUACCAAGGCAACGAUGCAUAGCCGACCUGAGAGGGUGAUCGGCCACACUGGAACUGAGACACGGUCCAGACUCCUACGGGAGGCAGCAGUAGGGAAUCUUCCGCAAUGGGCGAAAGCCUGACGGAGCAACGCCGCGUGAGUGAUGAAGGUCUUCGGAUCGUAAAACUCUGUUAUUAGGGAAGAACAUAUGUGUAAGUAACUGUGCACAUCUUGACGGUACCUAAUCAGAAAGCCACGGCUAACUACGUG